rnacentral:rRNA from 1 species
UACGGGGGGGGCAAGCGUUGUUCGGAAUUACUGGGCGUAAAGGGCUCGUAGGUGGCCAACUAAGUCAGACGUGAAAUCCCUCGGCUUAACCGGGGAACUGCGUCUGAUACUGGAUGGCUUGAGUCCGGGAGAGGGAUGCGGAAUUCCUGGUGGAGCGGUGAAAUGCGUAGAUAUCAGGAGGAACGCCGGCGGCGAAAGCGACUCUCUGGCCUGUAACUGACGCUGAGGCGCGAAAGCUAGGGGAGCAAACGGG